rnacentral:tRNA from 2 species
GUUGUGGCUCAGUGGUAGAGCGCUUGUCUAGCACACAUGAGGCACUGGGUUCGAUCCUCAGCACAACA